AGGAAUAUUGGUCAAUGGACGAGAGUCUGAACCAGCCAAGUAGCGUGAAGGAUGAAGGUCCUACGGAUUGUAAACUUCUUUUAUAAGGGAAUAAACCCUCCCACGUGUGGGAGCUUGUAUGUACCUUAUGAAUAAGCAUCGGCUAACUCCGUGCCAGCAGCCGCGGUAAUACGGAGGAUGCGAGCGUUAUCCGGAUUUAUUGGGUUUAAAGGGAGCGCAGACGGGUCGUUAAGUCAGCUGUGAAAGUUUGGGGCUCAACCUUAAAAUUGCAGUUGAUACUGGCGUCCUUGAGUGCGGUUGAGGUGUGCGGAAUUCGUGGUGUAGCGGUGAAAUGCUUAGAUAUCACGAAGAACUCCGAUUGCGAAGGCAGCACACUAAGCCGUAACUGACGUUCAUGCUCGAAAGUGUGGGUAUCAAACAGGAUUAGAUACCCUGGUAGUCCACACGGUAAACGAUGGAUACUCGCUGUUGGCGAUAUACUGUCAGCGGCUUAGCGAAAGCGUUAAGUAUCCCACCUGGGGAGUACGCCGGCAACGGUGAAACUCAAAGGAAUUGACGGGGGCCCGCACAAGCGGAGGAACAUGUGGUUUAAUUCGAUGAUACGCGAGGAACCUUACCCGGGCUUAAAUUGCAAAGGAAUAAUCUGGAAACAGAUUAGUCUUCGGACCUUUGUGAAGGUGCUGCAUGGUUGUCGUCAGCUCGUGCCGUGAGGUGUCGGCUUAAGUGCCAUAACGAGCGCAACCCUCGCCGCCAGUUACUAACAGUUAAAGCUGAGGACUCUGGCGGGACUGCCAUCGUAAGAUGUGAGGAAGGUGGGGAUGACGUCAAAUCAGCACGGCCCUUACGUCCGGGGCUACACACGUGUUACAAUGGGCGGUACAGAAGGCAGCUACCUGGCAACAGGAUGCCAAUCCCGAAAGCCGCUCUCAGUUCGGACUGGAGUCUGCAAUCCGACUCCACGAAGCUGGAUUCGCUAGUAAUCGCGCAUCAGCCACGGCGCGGUGAAUACGUUCCCG
rnacentral:rRNA from 1 species